UCAACUUCAAUCAAGAAGACUGGGUUGUACAGAACUGUCUUCUGAGGUACCUUGGGUAUCCUUAUCAUGUUUUAUUUAUGUUUUCUGGUGAUGACCUGCAUGUGACUGACAGUUGAUCUGAAAAAGUAUCUCCCAGAAUUGAGGGGAAGAGAAUGUUAAAACAAAACAUGACAAAAUUGUAAAAAGGCAAAGGUAAACAUCUUAGUGUAGUAUCAAAUACUCCCUUCUCUCAGACUUUGAAGAUUCUUUCCUUGUAUAAAUAGAAACUUC